GACGGAGGAUGCAAGUGUUAUCCGGAAUCACUGGGCGUAAAGCGUCUGUAGGUGGUUUGCUAAGUCUGCUGUUAAAGCUUGAAGCUCAACUUCAAAAAUGCAACAGAAACUAGUAGACUUGAGUGUGGUAGGGGCAGAGGGAAUUUCCAGUGAAGUGGUGAAAUGCGUAGAUAUUGGAAAGACCGCCAAAGGCGAAGGCACUCUGCUGGGCCAUAACUGACACUGAGACGCGAAAGCGUGGGGAGCGAACCGG
rnacentral:rRNA from 1 species